ensembl:lncRNA
UUUGGGUUCUAGGCUAAGUUCUGAAGAACAUGUGUGACUAGUCCAUGGGUAGAAGUAAAUCGCUUAUGCAAUAUAAUCCAUUUAGUCAUGAUUUUAACUGAUAUUCUGAUUCAGCAAGUUCAGUGUGUCUGAGACACAGCGUGCUGUGUAAAAAGAGGAUACUUUCUCAAACAUAAUGAAUGAAAUAUGUGUUCUCUAGUGUAUGUGCGGGUAAAGUACUAAUAAGAUAAGAGGGUUUUAAAGUAAUAGCAUUAGUUUUGCAGCACUCUCCACGGGCCCGUGCCGGCAUGAGGAGGAUUACAGGCACCCUGUAAAGCCUGAUUCAGCUAGUGACACUAGUAUUAGCUCAUUCAUGAAGAGAGAGAAAAAAGAUGGAUCCUCUUCCUCUACAAUCUACAGAUCCAGAAACUUUCUCCUUCAUCAAAAGACAAUGACAUCGGCUAAGAAAUCAAAAACAGACAUUUAUAAAGGUGUGUGUGAUACAUCUGCAUAGGGUCCUACAGAGAAAACAGAAUUUUUUCAUGUACCUUUUUGCAGUUUACAACCUCUUUAGAAUUUUCAAUUCUUUUAAUUUGGUUCAAAAAUUCUGCUCCAUUUAG